rnacentral:hammerhead_ribozyme from 1 species
AUCCAGUUGACGAGUCCCAAGUUGGACGAAACGCGUUUCCUGGAU